ACUCGAGUGGCGAACGGGUGAGUAACACGUGGGUGAUCUGCCUUGCACUUCGGGAUAAGCCUGGGAAACUGGGUCUAAUACCGGAUAGGACCAUGCUUUAGUGUGUGUGGUGGAAAGUUUUUCGGUGCAAGAUGAGCCCGCGGCCUAUCAGCUUGUUGGUGGGGUAAUGGCCUACCAAGGUGACGACGGGUAGUCGGCCUGAGAGGGUGUACGGCCACAUUGGGACUGAGACACGGCCCAG
rnacentral:rRNA from 1 species